GGUUUGCGCAUCUCUGCGCUCACGGGCUGUUCGCCACUUUGUGGCUGCCCUGCGCGGAGCGCGCCGGACGGCCGGCGACGGACUAUCGUCCUGUAGGGUGGUUGGUUUUACUGAUCAUCUUAUGCCAGGAAUGGGCCCGUAGCUCAGUCGGUUAGAGCACACGCUUGAUAAGCGUGGGGUCGGUAGUUCGAGUCUACCCGGGCCCACCAUUUGGUUUGACUGUUUCCUGAACCCCUAACGGUGACGUUAGGUGUUGCGA
rnacentral:misc_RNA from 1 species